rnacentral:rRNA from 1 species
GACGAACGCUGGCGGCGUGCUUAACACAUGCAAGUCGAACGGAAAGGCCCUGCUUUUGUGGGGUGCUCGAGUGGCGAACGGGUGAGUAACACGUGAGUAACCUGCCCUUGACUUUGGGAUAACUUCAGGAAACUGGGGCUAAUACCGGAUAGGAGCUCCUGCUGCAUGGUGGGGGUUGGAAAGUUUCGGCGGUUGGGGAUGGACUCGCGGCUUAUCAGCUUGUUGGUGGGGUAUUGGCUUACCAAGGCUUUGACGGGUAGCCGGCCUGAGAGGGUGACCGGCCACAUUGGGACUGAGAAAAGGCACAGACUGCUACGGGAGGCAGCAGUGGGGAAUAUUGCACAAUGGGCGGAAGCCUGACGAAGCAACGCGGCGUGCGGGAUGACGGCCUUCGGGUUGUAAACCGCUUUCGCCUGUGACGAAGCGUGAGUGACGGUAAUGGGUAAAGAAGCACCGGCUAACUACGUG